rnacentral:rRNA from 1 species
UACGUAGGGUGCAAGCGUUGUCCGGAAUUAUUGGGCGUAAAGAGCUCGUAGGCGGUUUGUCGCGUCUGCUGUGAAACGCGGGGCUCAACUCCGGGCCUGCAGUGGGUACGGGCAGACUAGAGUGCGGUAGGGAGACUGGAAUUCCUGGUGUAGCGGUGAAAUGCGCAGAUAUCAGGAGGAACACCGGUGGCGAAGGCGGGUCUCUGGGCCGUAACUGACGCUGGAGGAGCG